rnacentral:rRNA from 1 species
GAUGAACGCUGGCGGCGUGCUUAACACAUGCAAGUCGAACGGAAAGGCCCAAGCUUGCUUGGGUACUCGAGUGGCGAACGGGUGAGUAACACGUGGGUGAUCUGCCCUGCACUUCGGGAUAAGCCUGGGAAACUGGGUCUAAUACCGGAUAGGACCACCUCUUGGAUGUUGUGGUGGAAAGUUUUUUCGGUGUGGGAUGAGCUCGCGGCCUAUCAGCUUGUUGGUGGGGUAAUGGCCUACCAAGGCGUCGACGGGUAGCCGGCCUGAGAGGGUGUACGGCCACAUUGGGACUGAGAUACGGCCCAGACUCCUACGGGAGGCAGCAGUGGGGAAUAUUGCACAAUGGGCGCAAGCCUGAUGCAGCGACGCCGCGUGGGGGAUGACGGCCUUCGGGUUGUAAACUCCUUUCGCUAGGGACGAAGCGUUUUGUGACGGUACCUGGAGAAGAAGCACCGGCUAACUACGUG